rnacentral:rRNA from 1 species
CACGUAGGGGGCGAGCGUUGUCCGGAUUUAUUGGGCGUAAAGAGCUCGUAGGUGGCUUAGUAAGUCGGGUGUGAAACCUCCAGGCUCAACCUGGAGACGCCACCCGAUACUGCUAUAGCUUGAGUCCGGUAGGGGAGCGUGGAAUUCCUGGUGUAGCGGUGAAAUGCGCAGAUAUCAGGAGGGACACCAGCGGCGAAGGCGGCGCCCUGGGCCGGUACUGACACUGAGGAGCGAAAGCGUGGGGAGCAAACAGG